GAUCAAGUCAGUAAAUGAAAACAGUCAAGAGAGGAAAGUGUUGGUGGCUGAUUCAUAAUGAUAAUGAUAACGAGUCUUUAUUGGUCAUAGCACAGUGAAAUUCUUUUCUUCGCAGAGUCUUACCCGCCAAGCCACCACUGGCCCAUGGUCAUGAGGUGAAGAGUAAAAGUAUUCAGGAUGUGCAAGGGGGGUUAAAAUGCUGAAAGCCACAGAGGCAGGAGAGAUCUAGUGGAGGCUGAUGACAGGAGGGGCAAGGGAAAGUGAAUGAUACAAGCUGAUUAACUGAAAGAUGGAGCAGACUGCUUCUCAUGAAGGGUUUUGCGGAUGCUGCAUAUUAAGCACAAUAAGGAUACUAGUUGUGGUGCUAACCCAGCCACUGGCUCAGUGCGUGCACGGGACCAGUGCCGGUCCCGAGCCUGGAUAAAUGGGGAGGGUUGAGUCAGGAAGGGCAUCUCCAUAAAAAACCCUAGACAAAACAUGCGAAUCAACCUUAAAAACUCCAUACCGGAUCGUUCGAGGCCCGGGAUAACAACGUCCGACAUCGGCACUGUUGCCCAACAGGGUGCCGAGGGAAAAUGUGCUACUGCUGGACAAAGAAAAAGAGGAAGGAAACGCAUCAAGCUGGAGCGCAAACGCUAUAGGACCCACUACGCGGAACUGAAGGUCGGGUGCCUCAACGUUGGCACAAUGACAGGCAAGGGGAGAGAAUUGGCCGACAUGGUAGAGAAGCACAAAAUUGACAUUCUCUGAGUACAAGAGACUAAGUGGAAAGGCAGGCUUCCCACAUGAAGAGGUUUGGCACGCCUUGCACCAGUCAGGUGUGCCAGCCAAAUAUGUCAGAGCAGUUAAAGACAUGUAUGUUGACAGUAAGACCAAAGUCAAAAACGCUGUGGGAACCACAGACAGCUUUGACGUUAAGGUUGAACUCCACCAGGGGUCAGCCUUAAGUCCAUUUCUAUUUAAAUCACCCUCAUGGACAGGCUGACAGAUGGACUCCGGCAAGAACCACCAUGGACGAUGAUGUAUGCCGAUGACAUCGUACAAUGCACGGAGAGCAAACACCAAGCUGAAACAGCACUGGAAAGCUGGAGAGCCGCGCUCGAGAAGGGGGGACUGAAAAUUAAUAGCAGGAAGACCAAAUACAUGUGCAUUGGUGAUCCUGAAACCAUGACUCAUUGAAGUUCAAUGAUGGAGAAGAAAUUGAACAAGCAGAUAACUUCUGCUACCUCGGAUCCACUGUGGAGAAAAAUGGAGUGACCCGACAAGAGGAUUCAAG
ensembl:lncRNA